rnacentral:rRNA from 1 species
UAGGGAAUAUUGGGCAAUGGUCGGAAGACUGACCCAGCCAUGCCGCGUGCAGGAAGACGGCGUUCUGCGUUGUAAACUGCUUUUAUCUGGGAAGAAAAGGCCCAUGCGUGGGACAUUGCCGGUACCAGAUGAAUAAGCACCGGCUAACUCCGUGCCAGCAGCCGCGGUAAUACGGAGGGUGCAAGCGUUGUCCGGAUUUAUUGGGUUUAAAGGGUGCGUAGGCGGCUAUUUAAGUCAGCGGUGAAAGACUCCGGCUUAACCGGAGCAGUGCCAUUGAUACUGGAUAGCUUGAGUGUUGGAGGGGUACAUGGAAUUGAUGGUGUAGCGGUGAAAUGCAUAGAUACCAUCAGGAACACCGAUAGCGAAGGCAUUGUACUGGCCAACAACUGACGCUGAGGCACGAAAGUGUGGGGAUCGAACAGG